rnacentral:lncRNA from 7 species
UAUUAAUUCAAUCACGCGUCUGCGAGAAAGCAAGCCGACGGGCAUCUUCUGCCCGAGUCUCUCCGCGUUUCUGUAACUAGAAUUGUCAUAGUCAGGGUUGCCAAACAUCAGCAUCCCGAGGCAGUUUCUUUAAUUCUGCUUUUUUUUAUAUAUGUAAGUUUGCUUACCGAAUGAGCUAGUUCUAAACAAACUCAAAAACAAAACAGGGCAACUGGGGGUCCCUUGACAUUGCACAGAUGGACCUGACCACUUUGAGAUUCCCCCGGCUUCUAUCUCCUUUUCCCUCCCCUUGGAUCAAAUGAACAAAGGAGCGCAUUCUCUCUCUCUCUCUCUCUCUCUCUCUCUCUCUCUCUAAAAGAUUAAAAAAAAGCCUGCAUGUAGUGUUCUUUGACAAGGACAAGGAAGCCCUUUUACAUCAAUACAUCAUUCGUAUGUUGUUGUUUUCUGUGUUCUUUGCGUUCCUUUUUUUUUCCCUCCCUCCGCCUUAUUUUUUCUACUUGAUUGUUGCCAAGAUCUGGAGCACCUGAUCUGAUCGUGUGCGCUGGUUUACUGAACCUUGGGAGGGCUAUACGCUUCGUACGGGACAUACCAAUUUCAGAGAAUUCAGUUAUCAGGUAGGUGGUUCAAUCAUUCCUCCUUGUGGAUUUGUGGGAAGUCAGAGCUCGCAAGCAUCGCCAAAACUUAGAGAAAAAAUAGACCUGAACCUGAGAGGAUGAUGAUCCGGGACGCAGCUUUCGUAUCAUAUUCGCCGCUGGUUUCCUCACUGCAAGGUGUGUAAAGUGUAAUCCUCAAAGUUUAGACGAAGCAGUACCAAUCAUAGGCUCACAACGACACUGUAAACUGUACUGCACAGCAGAGCAGCUGGAUGAUGAACUAACAGCUUCUCGUUUUUUUUACGCAUCAUAUUUUUUGUAUCCACUGGUCUUUAUCACUCACCUUCUCAUUUUUUUAUGC